rnacentral:rRNA from 1 species
UCACUUGUGGGGGGAUUAGUGGCGAACGGGUGAGUAACACGUGAGUAACCUGCCCUUAACUCUGGGAUAAGCCUGGGAAACUGGGUCUAAUACUGGAUAUGACCUCCUGUCGCAUGGUGGGUGGUGGAAAGAUUUUUUGGUUUUGGAUGGACUCGCGGCCUAUCAGUUUGUUGGUGAGGUAAUGGCUCACCAAGGCGACGACGGGUAGCCGGCCUGAGAGGGUGACCGGCCACACUGGGACUGAGACACGGCCCAGACUCCUACGGGAGGCAGCAGUGGGGAAUAUUGCACAAUGGGCGAAAGCCUGAUGCAGCGACGCCGCGUGAGGGAUGAAUGCCUUCGGGUUGUAAACCUCUUUCAGCAGGGAAGAAGCGAAAGUGACGGUACCUGCAGAAGAAGCGCCGGCUAACUACGUGCCAGCAGCCGCGGUAAUACGUAGGGCGCAAGCGUUGUCCGGAAUUAUUGGGCGUAAAGAGCUCGUAGGCGGUUUGUCGCGUCUGCUGUGAAAGCCCGGGGCUCAACCCCGGGUCUGCAGUGGGUACGGGCAGACUAGAGUGAUGUAGGGGAGACUGGAAUUCCUGGUGUAGCGGUGAAAUGCGCAGAUAUCAGGAGGAACACCGAUGGCGAAGGCAGGUCUCUGGGCAUUAACUGACGCUGAGGAGCGAAAGCAUGGGGAGCGAACAGGAUUAGAUACCCUGGUAGUCCAUGCCGUAAACGUUGGGCACUAGGUGUGGGGGACAUUCCACGUUUUCCGCGCCGUAGCUAACGCAUUAAGUGCCCCGCCUGGGGAGUACGGCCGCAAGGCUAAAACUCAAAGGAAUUGACGGGGGCCCGCACAAGCGGCGGAGCAUGCGGAUUAAUUCGAUGCAACGCGAAGAACCUUACCAAGGCUUGACAUGGACUGGAAACACUCAGAGAUGGGUGCCCCGCUUGCGGCCGGUUCACAGGUGGUGCAUGGUUGUCGUCAGCUCGUGUCGUGAGAUGUUGGGUUAAGUCCCGCAACGAGCGCAACCCUCGUUCUAUGUUGCCAGCACGUGAUGGUGGGGACUCAUAGGAGACUGCCGGGGUCAACUCGGAGGAAGGUGGGGACGACGUCAAAUCAUCAUGCCCCUUAUGUCUUGGGCUUCACGCAUGCUACAAUGGCCGGUACAAAGGGUUGCGAUACUGUGAGGUGGAGCUAAUCCCAAAAAGCCGGUCUCAGUUCGGAUUGAGGUCUGCAACUCGACCUCAUGAAGUCGGAGUCGCUAGUAAUCGCAGAUCAGCAACGCUGCGGUGAAUACGUUCCCGGGCCUUGUACACACCGCCCGUCAAGUCACGAAAGUUGGUAACACCCGAAGCCGGUGGCCUAACCCC